rnacentral:lncRNA from 1 species
AAACAUAAAACGAACUAAGGAUCAUCGGCGCCAAUGUCAACUGAGAAACGCCACCUAGAUCAGAUCAAACUCCUCGCCUUGUGGCUCCUCCUGAACCACCUGCUCUUCUCCUGUGGGGGGGGUGUGAGACAGCAAGAGUAAGCUCACAUACGUUCAUCGCUCAACAAGUUGUGGGGAAUAAUGUGGCAUGAACUCACCAAAGGUGGGAGUUCAUGAAGUGUAAGGCUGAUCAAUGAUAUAAGGCUGAAGCUGAGCAUUGCUUUUAUAAGUUGGUCAAAAUUUUAUUAGCAAUUACUAAGUAUAAGUAAAUACCAACCCUUAGAAAUAAUAAAUAAAAGUAAUAGUGAAAUAAUCCGAGAUGCAAUGAAAUGACAGAUUGAGUUUAAGUUCCAUAAAUUAAUCAUGUGAGUGUCCGAGCCACUCAUGACCGUGAGCACGGCUAGUAUACCAGUUUUACACUCUACAGAGGUUGCGCAUCUUUACCCACAAGUCGUGUUACCCAUUUGCCACAGAGUUGAUCAGACUCCAUACACCUCUACCAAGGAAGCGAGGCAGGGUACCACUACGAGGCCUUUACAAAGUUCCACUAGCUUCAGACUACCCGCUACAGUUUAUAGGAAGCUCCAGUGCAGGGUUCUUGCCUUACCGCCAUCGCAGCAAAAUCAACCAAUGACCUCCCUACACUGACCACUCCCCUACUGCCCUUGCCCCUUUCGGGUAAGGUAGCCCUCCACUAGCUUUCCUAGUUAAUCAGCCAAGGGCGUCCCAUAAACCCUUGUGGUAGCAGUGUUUUCCCGGGUGGUUCUCCAUGUUCCCAUUAACAUAAUGAUCUUAACAUGGACAGUAAAGAAUAAAACAGAUAAUAAGAAGCAUAACAAUGAGUGAUGAAUAUCUCUAUACCCAAUCCACAUAAAGAAAUAGCAUGAACUACCCAAAACUUUAGUAGUAAAACCAAUGGUGAAACAAGGUAUAAAGAUAGUCAAAUCUAGGGUAACCUAUUAGGUCCCAGCAAAAUUAACCUAUGCAGAUCAUUAUGAAUAAUAAGAACAUGAAUGGGUAAAAGAAGUGAUCAAGGGCACAACUUGCCUUCAACGAGCUCCUGCUCAGCUAUCUCUACUUGCUGAUCCUCAGGUUCCACAGUGGCUUGCUCGUCUACUCGCAUCAACACAAUACAUACAUAGUAUAGCAUAAAUUAACAUCACAUCAAACAUGCAAAUGAAAUAUACAGUAACAAACUAAACAUUAAAAUAUGCUCACAGGAAUUGGAAUCAUUAAAUUUGGAGUUAUAUAUUUUAAGUUAUGGAUUUUCUAAUGUUUUAUGUGCUUAAUACAAGAUUAAGUGAUAGAUAAAUUUUAAAUCAUCUCUCAUGUUAAAACAGAGGCACUAAUGGUUAGACAAUAAUUUUAUAAAAAUUUAGGAACUGGAAUGGACCAAUUUGGAGUUUAUAUGCAUUUUCUAUGAAUUAUACAAAUUCUAUGAAUUGUUUUUAUAUUAAAAACUCAUUUUCUAAUUCAUUUCCCUGAUUUUAUAAUUCUCUGGACGGGGCCUCAUUUUCUAGAAAACGCAGGGGCUACGGCGUAAAAGAACCUAAGACACAGGCCGCAACCCAGCUGGACGGCGGGUUGUUUUGGUGAAAACCAAGGGGGCUCUUGACGAAAAUGCCACGACUGAGCGAACACAGGUGCGCCUGGGCCAUCCAUUUAAAGAUCUAGGGCCCAGAUGUAAACAGCGAACCAGUAUGCGAUUUCAGUCGCGCAAUCCACGAUCUACGAUCCAGAUCCAAAGUCCACUUCAUCCAACCGGUGUACACCCAGGUCCACAAGAUUCUGAUCUAACGGCCAGUUGCUCACCCACCACAGGAUUUAAUCACAUCCGCACAAUUUGGAUCGGACGGCCCAUGACUCAUCACACUAUCGUCCAAUCGGAGCCGUUGAUUACAAGAUCAACGCCCAGCGCCUUCUCUUCCCCACGCCGCAACCAGGCGGCGGCGUUUGCACAGGGCCACGGCAGAGACCAUCGCCGGGAGACCGCUAAUCCCGCACCCUGAUGCUUUAUCUUCAAUCAAUCGAGCGCUACGCGUAGAGGAGGAGAUGACGAACACAAUGGAUGGCUCCUUACCGGUUUUCGCGCAGCAGAGCUAGUUGCCCACGGUGGAGAACGGAUCCGCGAUGGAGGUCUGGCGCCGGUGAGAAAUUGUGACGCGACCGUACAAGUUCUGGGGGGGGAAGCCAUGACACCACUGGGACGCCCCUACGACCCUCCCAAGUCACCAAUCGAGAACGGAGCAUGACCCAGGACGUAGACCGGCGACGGCGCUCCUCCGCUUUUCUCUCUCCUCCACAUUUCCCUUGCACGGCUCCACUCACUCUGGAUGGCGUCCCUGAGUCCACAAUCGGGCGGACGAGAGGAGCAUCAAGGUCGGCAAUUUAUAGUGGCCAUAGCCCAUGGUCCCGCGGGAGGGGAACCCGAUAAGCUGGGUUCGGUUGUUACAACAACCCAACGAUACUCACGCGGAGGAAGA